rnacentral:lncRNA from 1 species
AUGCUUCAGAGUCUGAACUGUCCCCUAAUCAAUGAUCACUUGUGUUUCAGAAACACAGUUAUGCGUCCAUGUCGUAUCAUUGAUCAGAAUGCCCAGGUAGAUGAGGUCCGUCCCACCCAUGGGAUGCGGACCCAUAACAAAGUUCACGCUCUAAAACUAGUCCCUACUCUGGGAGUCCCUUCAGUCCCGACCAGUCUACCUCGAGCUCCGCAGACCAAUGUCAGCCGUCC